rnacentral:rRNA from 1 species
UACAGAGGGGGCAAGCGUUGUUCGGAAUUACUGGGCGUAAAGGGCGCGUAGGCGGCCUGUUAAGUCGAACGUGAAAUCCCCGGGCUCAACCCAGGAACUGCGUCCGAUACUGGCAGGCUUGAAUCCGGGAGAGGGAUGCGGAAUUCCAGGUGUAGCGGUGAAAUGCGUAGAUAUCUGGAGGAACACCGGUGGCGAAGGCGGCAUCCUGGACCGGCAUUGACGCUGAGGCGCGAAAGCCAGGGGAGCAAACGGG